GGAUGUGGCCAGAAUGACCGGUUUGGCCUAGCGGUUUGUAGGGGGUGCGUCCUUCCUGCGCUGGGAUCUGACCACGCAAGGAGCACAUUCGCAUUUAACCUUGUAUACAAGAUUAUAACUAUUUUGCGUAAUAAGAUAUAAAAUUGCAAGCAAUAUAAUGGCAAUUCUGUAACUGCCCAGUGGGUUCACUUUGCCCGCUACCUAGACAGAGCCGAUUUCUCAAGACGGGGGGAAUAGCAAUAGAGAAGGAGGAGACAGGAGACAUCAAUCAACAUAUGUAAGAUGAACACUGGUUUGAUCCGGUACAACCUGAAGCAAAAGUGAGUCAACUGGAAGCCAGGAGGGGCCUUCCAGGUCACAGAAACGGGGUCUCCCUCGGUUGCCCAGGCUGUCUCUGGUGCCCAACGCAGGGCUCCCCGUAAUCUCUACAAAUAAUCCAGUGAAGGAACACCAGAGCGUGGAAAGCUGAGGCAAAGGACUCCCGGUAGGUUUUCACUUCAAGCUCUAGGCAAUGAGGAUCUUAUAGAUGGUCCCUCCUUCCGUCUGGAUUCCUGUGUUAGGAUGAUACAGCACAGAGCUACCUCUCACCUGACCCAUGAUGAGAUGUAUAUAAAUGAGGAAGAAGAUUUUUGAGCCACUGAAAUUUGGAGGUUGUCUGUCACCACAGUUUAACCUAGCUCCCAUUGACUGAUGCAAGGCUGAAGAAUGAGUCCAAACUGGAUCUGGACAAGACAUGUGAAGAGCACUCCAGUCGGUGGUUUUGCAGCAACAGCAUUGCAUGUGGGUUUUAGGCUGAUGAUGCUCAACAGUGGACAAUUCUCUUCACCUGCCUGGGCCCCACUGCCCACCCUUCCAUACAGUGCAGGGUCACAGCUGAGCUCUCCAAGACACCUUGCAGGAUCUCAGCUUCUGAACUGUCAAGUGUCUUCUAGAUGAAGGCUUAGUCUCAUAGCCUUUGUGGCUUCCUCCAGAUUUUCACUUCUCUUGGUUGAAAACUUAGGAGGAGGGGCGGAGCAAGAUGGCCGAAUAGGAACAGCUCCAGUCUCCAACUCCCAGCGCGAGCGACACAGAAGACCGGUGAUUUCUGCAUUUUCAACUGAGAAAUCCUUGAAUGAAUCACAAAAGGGAUUGGUACUUACCUGGUGUGAAGCAGAGCUGAGCCAAAGGAUGAAGCAAUAUUGCAAUGGACUCUGUCAUUGAUAUCACUAGUUCGCAAAUCUUUUACCACUAUGGUCAAAUUUUUAUAUUCACUUUAAAAUUAUAACUCAUCUGCUCAUUGUAUUCAAGGCAACAUCUACCCUAAAAUGUACUCAGGCAUUAAUUUAUGCUUUUCUGUUUACAAAUGAGAAUUCAUAAGCAAAUUGAGGUAGCAAUUACAUUGAUGUAGCAAUUACAAAACUGAAGGCAAAACAGAAGACAUAUACACAUACAUCAGUGAAACAAAACAAAGAGCCCAGAAACACACUGAAAUACAGCCAGCUGAUCUCUGACAAAGGAGUAAAGGCAAUUCAAUGGAGAGAGGAGAGUCUUUUUAACAAACAGUGCUGGAACAAAUGGACAUCCAUGUGCAAAAAAAAAAAAAAAAAAAAAAAAAAA
rnacentral:lncRNA from 1 species